ACAAGUCUUAAUUCCCAUGCGAUACCUUGGCUUGGGCUGAAUUAAAGUUGAUCACGCACACUGUUUGGUUUUCAGUCCAUCAAUUAUUGAGUUGAUGAUAAUUGUUUUAAAUUAUUUGCAGCGUCUAAGUAUACAUAAAACAACAAUUGUUCCAUGAUAAAGGCUCCCAACUGUAGUGGAAGGACCUCUGCACAAGUUAUUCGACAUUCAAUAGCGAAGAAGAUAGGUAUACUCGACUCUCAAGUCCCCCGGAGUUCCAUUUUUCUUGGAAUGCAUAAGUCUAAAAUGAAAGUUCCACUAAGGCCUGAUUUGCUUGUAAGUAUUCCCUAGAUAAUUUUUUCCUUUUUAUAUUCUUAGUUUUCUUGUGGUUAAUGAUAUUCUUUAAGGAUAUUCACACAUCUUUCAUUGAAUACUUUAAUAGGAAAGAGUAAAGCAGUCUAUCUUGUCAAACCCACACUUACACAGGCAACUCCUGAUGAUGCCGUGGUUGAGGUGCGGAUGCAAUAUUAUCUGAUUUUAUUCAAUUUUUCUGUAUAUCUGAUUUUAUUCAAUUUUUCUGUAUAGGAAUAUUUCUUUAUUAUACAUUAGUUUAAUUUUGAUUUAUUAAAUAGGUUCUUGGGAAAGAUAGUAGGGGUUGCAUGAAGGCAAUGGGUGCAGGUGUCAGCAAAAGUUCUCUUAAGGCCAUAACUCCACUGCUGAAGAUGUAUGAAAAAGAGGCUCAGGCGAUUGCUGAAUGGAAACAACAAGUAGAUGGGAUGUUUGAUAGCCUUCAAGCUCAAAUAGUGCAACUCAACCGUGCAGUUCAAACAGGAUCAGGUGGGAGACCGCCCAUACCUGUUGGUUCAAGGUCACAAAUGCAAGUGGAAGUUAACACGGUACGCUUUUAAAUUGUAAUAUUAUUUGAUGCCACCAAGUUAUCCUUAUCCCAUGCAUUAGAGUUCACUAGAUCAUGGAUAAUAACUGUUUGUAAGUUGUUUGUACAAAUUUGUUAAUAUUAUUGGCUUUCAAUGGCGAUGAUUGUUUUGUAAACAAACUACCACAAUAUUGUUUCAGGAGGUUAGUUAGUUUGGUGGUUGUCCUUUCCAAGUCGUCGCAAAGGGAAGGGUGACAGAUGUUAAUCCAAACUCCAAGUGGGGUGCAAGAUGCCUAGGAGAAGGAAAUUUCUUAGUUUACAUUGAGUGUACGUUUAUACCACACGCUAUGUUGCCAUGCCCUCAUGAUGAAUGGUGUACGACUUUGGGACAAAUUGGGCAGGGAUUUGUAAUUUGGCCGAAGAUGUGCCUCGAGUUUCAUCACUAGCAAGGUCAGUUGUUAAUUAUACGCAUGACAUGGUGAUCAUCUCUUGUACUUACAGUUUUUCUAUUUACUACUCAGUUUCUCACUUUUGACUUGAAUAGGCUUUUAGAAGAAUUCCUAGGUCUUAAUAAAUUUUAAUUCUUGAU
rnacentral:lncRNA from 1 species